GGGGUGGGGGGUAGGGGAGGAAAAAAAAAAAGAGGUGGGUUCAACCGGAGUCCCUGCGGCCACCGCCGCCGCCACCGCCGCCGCCGGUCCGCCCCCGCCCCUUCCCCGUCCUUCCGCUAGCAGCAGGGCCCGGGCGGCCCGGUGGCCAUGGCCUUGGCUUGACUUAGCCUCCCGGGCGGCUGGGAGCGUGUGGCCAGGACAGCAGGGUCACACGAGCUCCGCGGGACCCUGGGGGCCCAGAGACCCCGCCCCAGCGAUAGCGAGCGAGCGAGCGCGCGCGCGCGCGCGGCGGGGCCCGGAGGCUUCGGGCCGGCUCGGCAGGCA
rnacentral:lncRNA from 1 species